UGAACAGGGACUUGUCUGCUGUAAUCCUGUGAGUGUGAGGUUGCUAAGGAGACCACUGCCAUAUUCAAUUAGUAAACAAUGAGGUGCUUGGGCUGUAGUGAAAAGAGGAAGCUUCUCCUUUGAGGAGGAAAGGCCCCUCUCCCUUUGGGUUGGAGGGCAGUCACAGUCCUGGAGAUUGGUGUUACGCUGUUCUAAUACCAAAGACCAUUGAUUCCAGCCCUGGGACGAUUUGCUGGGCACAACCAGAAAACAACAUAUGUUGACGUGAAUGCUAUUCAGAUUAAUAAACAAAAGACUUCAAGGCCUUCCAGCUGAGCAGCGGUUUUAAUUUGGAAAUUACUCAUGUGGAAUGACAGAAGUGCUGAGAAUACAGGUGUAAACAAGUGGCAGAAAUGAGAAGCCCCCCGGCGCGUGAAGAGAGCAAUGAAUUACACCACCUCACGAGCUCCACACUCCCCGCUCUUCGGCCGGGCAGGGGUGUGGAGCAUGGUAGGGCGAGCAGCUCUCUAAGUGAAUUGUGGGUGCUCGGAUCACCCUCUUGGCAGGUGAAGAUGGCUAGUUUCACUUUGAGGAGGAGAUUCCUGAGGUGGCCAAGAGUACAAAGUAACCUACAGUGCCCAAGGUCACAGAGACAGAGGGGGACAGUCAGGGACUGAAUGGGAGGCGCUAGACUCAGCACCAUUUUCUCUGCAGUGUCACAUGGGGUAGUUAUUUGGUUCCAUCUCUGGUCAACCAUGUUUCCCGUUUUUCCAGCUACUCUAAAAUCUCAAAUGUGUACCCCUCCCCACUUUGCUGUAAUAUCUGUGGUUUCCAUCUACUCUUUUCCUGUUUGGCUGCCUUCUGUGCAAACUGUGACUGUAGAUUACAGCUCAAAUUGUAGAGGGUUCACGACAAAGAAUAUUACAUUUUAGCCUCUUCUUUUUCCCAAUGUGUAGUUCUUGGUUUGGUCUCUGAUGGCCUAUAAUGACAUUUUUACUCAUUAGAGUAUUGGAGAGGUUGGGGGGAAAAGUAGAGUACUCCAAAGACAAUCCAGUGGACAUAACUUUAUUAUCCUUAGCAAAUCCAGCUGGUUUUGUGAAGAUGAGCUAACAGUCCCUCAUAAAGACAGCAACUGUUAUGGUUUAGAUCUGAAAUGUCCCCCAAAAGUCUCAUAUUCAGAGAGGGACCCUGAUCAAAAGAGGUAGGUCAGUGGGGUCAUGGCUUGGAAACACCCCCGGCUCCUUUUCUGUCUGUUCAGUGGCCACCAUUCCACAAGCAGCUUUCCUCUGCCAGGCCCAUCUACCGUGCCAUUCCUGCUAUAGAGCUGGCCAACCAUGGACUAAACCCAUGGAAACCAUGAGCCAAAAUAAACCUUUCUCCUCCUUUAAAUUGUGGUCGUUAAGUAUUUUGUCCCACAGAUCGGAAAGCUAACAAAUACAACAGCCAUCCGUUAAAUAAUUUCUUUUUAUUUCUUUAGUGUCUUCCUCUCCUAACUCAACCGUGAGUUCUAAGAAAAUUUGUUCUUGUUUUGUUCCUCCAGCUAUAUCCCCAGCAGUAGGAGAGUGCUGAGCACAUAGUAUGUGCUUAAUUGAAACACGAAUGCAGUGAUUAAGUGAAUAAACAAACCAUUAAGAUGACAGUCAAAUAAGCACAAAAUAGAGUCUUCAUUUGCUGAUCCUAGAGACCGGAUCGCCACUCACACCCGCCCCACCUCAGCACGAGGGACCAGUCCCACUUGCAG